CCUACGGGAGGCAGCAGUCGAGAAUCAUUCACAAUGGGGGAAACUCUGAUGGUGCGACGCCGCGUGGGGGAAUGAAGGUCUUCGGAUUGUAAACUCCUGUCAUGUGGGAGCAAAUUAAAAAGAUAGUACCACAUGUGGAAGAGACGGCUAACUCUGUGCCAGCAGCCGCGGUAAUACAGAGGUCUCAAGCGUUGUUCGGAAUCACUGGGCGUAAAGCGUGCGUAGGCUGUUUCGUAAGUCGUGUGUGAAAGGCGCGGGCUCAACCCGCGGACGGCACAUGAUACUGCGAGACUAGAGUAAUGGAGGGGGAGCCGGAAUUCUCGGUGUAGCAGUGAAAUGCGUAGAUAUCGAGAGGAACACUCGUGGCAAAGGCGGGUUCCUGGACAUUAACUGACGCGGAGGCACGAAGGCCAGGGGAGCGAAAGGGAUUAGAUACCCCUGUAGUC
rnacentral:rRNA from 1 species